rnacentral:rRNA from 1 species
UACGGAAGGCAGCAGUGGGGAAUAUUGCACAAUGGGCGCAAGCCUGAUGCAGCCAUGCCGCGUGUAUGAAGAAGGCCUUCGGGUUGUAAAGUACUUUCAGUCGUGAGGAAGGUGUUAAGGUUAAUAACCUUAGCAAUUGACGUUAGCGACAGAAGAAGCACCGGCUAACUCCGUGCCAGCAGCCGCGGUAAUACGGAGGGUGCGAGCGUUAAUCGGAAUUACUGGGCGUAAAGGGCACGCAGGCGGUUAAUUAAGUUGGAUGUGAAAUCCCCGGGCUUAACCUGGGAAUGGCAUUCAAGACUGGUUAGCUAGAGUCUUGUAGAGGGGGUAGAAUUCCAUGUGUAGCGGUGAAAUGCGUAGAGAUGUGGAGGAAUACCGGUGGCUAAGGCGGCCCCUGGGACAAAGACUGACGCUCAUGUGCGAAAGCGUGGGGAGCAAACAGGAUUAGAUACC